rnacentral:lncRNA from 1 species
AGAUCUUUUCCCCUCUCUCGUCGACCCUAUACAAACCACCACCCACCACUAAUUAAAAUAAAACAUUUUUCUUACCCUGCUCGGCGUGGUUUAAAACUUAUUCCCUUCUUUUCUUCUUCCAUCGGUCGCGCGCUGGUCACGGACUGAAAAAAAUAACAAGUACGAUGGAAAAAGAAGAAGAGAAAAUUAUGGAAAAAAAAAAAAACUGGCGGGGAGCUCAGAAUAAGACGAGAUAACCAGCUUUGAAGUGGAUAGUAUAUAUACCUUUUAUCCCCAGCAAAACUACGUUAACCUCCCUGGUUACAAUAUUAAGCAAGAAAAAACGUCAAGUGCACCGCGCGGAUACUUUAAAUUGAGCUUCCCUGACACGUGAUUUACUAUGGUUACGCGAGGUAUAGCUUAUACGCGAUCGGAGAGGGUCUCACCUUGCCUUCCGGGCAAACUUGUAAAAAAUACAUGGGGUGCACCAGCAUCAGGCUCUCGGCUUGGGGAUCUCCUGCCUGCCUGCCUGCCGCCCCAAUCUCGGCGCAUGAGACGUAUUCGAUUUCAAAAACAUUCACCAUUCCGGUCCGUUCGAUCCGUAUUUAUAUGUAUAUGAAUACUGUACGUGUCUCUCCCCGGAAAUUUUACUUGCAAAGGAUCAAUUCAAGAUUUCGAGAA